GAUUGACAAUCGCCAUCUCCAUUUCAUACAAGAGUUCACCCCAAUCCACAUCCAAAUGUUAGUAUAAUUUCAUUCAAUGACCAUGCACGACAACUGGAUGACAUUAGAGGGUUUUUAACGUACUGAUUCGAGUAAAACACCAUAAUUGACACAAAGAAUGACAGUUUGAAAAUAGAAUUUACACUGCAAAUUGAUCAUAGCCCAUCAAAUUUAACUCUUGACAGUAAAUCAGUUGGGUCCAAAAUGAGCUACUGAAACAUUGACAGCAGCGAACUAUAAUUUCCAAUAAAGCUACUAAUACUGGGGACCUAAACUUGACAGUGCCUCAGCACCAACCAAAACCCAAGCUAACGAAGUUCAAAACCUGUGGCUUUAUACGAGAAAACCACACAUGUUAUGCAUCGAUCUAAGUGCACAAUAUCAGCAGAUAAUGUUCCAAGACACAGGCAUUACAACCUUAAAUUAGAAUUUUCAACGACGAUUUAUAUUUACAUCAUAUGUGCUGAUAUUUGUAGAUCGAAGAGAACAAAACUGAUUACUUCUGGUAAGAAAACCAGAACAGUUACCUGGGAAAUAUACGAAGGUCCAUUAUAAUGAGCCACGUUGAAAGUGCUCUGAAGAUGUAUCCUUGUUCCGUCUUGAUUGAUCGGAUACCUGGAACAAAAAUGUGAGAUCUUCCACUGUAAGACGAGUUGCGGUGCCACCACUUUGAUCAUCACCAAAAGCGGAUGCAAUCAUUUUUCUCUUGUCAUCCUGAAGACAAACAAACAACUAAGAAGACUCGACCCAUAGAGAUGAAACUAUCUAAGAAAUAAAGAAAAGCUUAAAACAUGCAGGCCAAAUCUCUUUGGGCAAGUCAAAGAGUGCUUUUAUCUAGUCUCU
rnacentral:lncRNA from 1 species